rnacentral:rRNA from 1 species
AGUGAACGCUGGCGGUAGGCCUAACACAUGCCAGUCGAACGGCAGCACAGUAAGAGCUUGCUCUUACGGGUGGCGAGUGGCGGACGGGUGAGGAAUACAUCGGAAUCUACUUUUUCGUGGGGGAUAACGUAGGGAAACUUACGCUAAUACCGCAUACGACCUACGGGUGAAAGCAGGGGAUCUUCGGACCUUGCGCGAUUGAAUGAGCCGAUGUCGGAUUAGCUAGUUGGCGGGGUAAAGGCCCACCAAGGCGACGAUCCGUAGCUGGUCUGAGAGGAUGAUCAGCCACACUAGAACUGAGACACGGUCCAGACUCCUACAGGAGGCAGCAGUGGGGAAUAUUGGACAAUGGGCGCAAGCCUGAUCCAGCCAUACCGCGUGGGUGAAGAAGGCCUUCGGGUUGUAAAGCCCUUUUGUUGGGAAAGAAAAGCAGCAGGUUAAUACCCCGCUGUUCUGACGGUACCCAAAGAAUAAGCACCGGCUAACUUCGUG